GACGAACGCUGGCGGCGUGCUUAACACAUGCAAGUCGAACGGAAAGGCCCUGCUUUUGUGGGGUGCUCGAGUGGCGAACGGGUGAGUAACACGUGAGUAACCUGCCCUUGACUUUGGGAUAACUUCAGGAAACUGGGGCUAAUACCGGAUAGGAGCUCCUGCUGCAUGGUGGGGGUUGGAAAGUUUCGGCGGUUGGGGAUGGGCUCGCGGCUUAUCAGCUUGUUGGUGGGGUAGUGGCUUACCAAGGCUUUGACGGGUAGCCGGCCUGAGAGGGUGACCGGCCACAUUGGGACUGAGAUACGGCCCAGACUCCUACGGGAGGCAGCAGUGGGGAAUAUUGCGCAAUGGGCGGAAGCCUGAUGCAGCAACGCCGCGUGCGGGAUGACGGCCUUCGGGUUGUAAACCGCUUUCGCCUGUGACGAAGCGUGAGUGACGGUAAUGGGUAAAGAAGCACCGGCUAACUACGUG
rnacentral:rRNA from 1 species